GACGAAGGAUGCAAGCGUUAUCCGGAUUCAUUGGGUUUAAAGGGAGCGUAGGCGGCCUGGUAAGUCAGUGGUGAAAUCUCGCAGCUUAACUGCGAAACUGCCAUUGAUACUGCCUGGCUAGAGUACAUGCUGUGGGCGGAAUAUGACAUGUAGUGGUGAAAUACAUAGAGAUGUCAUAGAACACCGAUUGCGAAGGCAGCUCACAAAACUGUAACUGACGCUGAGGCUCGAAAGUGUGGGGAUCAAACAGG
rnacentral:rRNA from 1 species